AUUGAACGCUGGCGGAAUGCUUUACACAUGCAAGUCGAACGGUAGAGGGGGCAACCCCUCGAGAGUGGCGAACGGGUGAGUAAUAUAUCGGAACGUGCCCAGUCGUGGGGGAUAACGUAGCGAAAGUUACGCUAAUACCGCAUACGAUCUAAGGAUGAAAGCGGGGGAUCGCAAGACCUCGCGCGAUUGGAGCGGCCGAUAUCAGAUUAGGUAGUUGGUGGGGUAAAGGCUCACCAAGCCAACGAUCUGUAGCUGGUCUGAGCGGACGACCAGCCACACUGGAACUGAGACACGGUCCAGACUCCUACGGGAGGCAGCAGUGGGGAAUUUUGGACAAUGGACGCAAGUCUGAUCCAGCCAUUCCGCGUGCAGGAUGAAGGCCCUCGGGUUGUAAACUGCUUUUGUACGGAACGAAAAGGUCUCUCUUAAUACGGGGGACUCAUGACGGUACCGUAAGAAUAAGCACCGGCUAACUACGUGCCAGCCGCCGCGGUAA
rnacentral:rRNA from 1 species